GGUAGCGGCAUGGCGAACGGCUGUCUGAACUUUGCUUGCUUCAUCUUGCAGCGUUUUACAGUGCCCAGACCGGAGACGGCGUCAGCCAUUUGCGCACGCCGGCGUAACUGUCUGAGUCCAUGGGGCAGCGUGCCCGCUUCGUUGAAAGCCUUCCAGAUGGCGCUCGCCACCGCCGCUUCGAGGCCUCUGUGAGAGGCCGAGUUUCUACCAGAAAGCCCGCCUUCGUGCAUGGCGUUCUCCGUGAGCGUUUCCCGGCAACCGAAGAAAAACAGUUUCGCCUACAGAUGUGCAUCGAACGAAUGAUCGACGACGCUGCAGACAAACAGGAUGCAUGAGUAGGACAUAAGCAGUGGUUAUCGACCGACGACGAUGGCCUUGGUUUCCACUAUUGCCAACAUAUCUCGUCUCCUGAAGCGACGCAGAAAAAAUGCGCCAUGGGAUAAUAAGCGUUCCGUAAUUAUCGAGGCCGUCUGAGUGUUUCCUUGACAAACUGCGUGCAAGUCGGGGAGGUUCGGCGAUGGGUGGCAAUGGGCGUCGCCUCUCAACCACGCGUGCCGCAUGCUGCCAGGCCAGCGGGCAGCAAUACAUUCGAUGCUUGUAACAGAUCGUAAAUGUCGCGGCACGUUGCACAUUUUUAGAUCCUGCGUUCUUUCGUUGCAGCCCUCCGUGAGUAAAAAACCACAGCUGCUAUCUUCGUGCGUGGAAAUAAAUCUGUUGCAUAUUCUCGAUAGCUUGUGCAACUUUUCCAUUGCAGGUGUUGCGUGUAAAUCAAUACUCUAAAGCUUUGGUUUUCAAAAGUGUUUCCCAACACUGAAUUUGUUCGGCAGUGACACAAUUCGAUGAAUUGCUCAAGGUAAUUGAACAGUAUACUGAGUCAGUCGCAUUUGCGCAUCGCACACGUGACUUGUCGGUGGGCGUGGCAGGUGUUCGCUCCAGGCACUCCGCACGAGCGCGUGCAGUGUCGACCGGACCCCGGAGAGCGUGAACCCUCGAUGAGCGCCCGUUGUGUGCCGUGUUCGUGAAAUCGCCAUGACAGUCUGCUCGCAACAUUCUUGAAGCGAUGAUUUAAACUUUGAAGUAGUUGAUUUAUUGAGAUGAAAUUUAAGUAAACGUUGACAACAGAUCUAUUGCCGGCUUCCCCAGAAACAAUGAUAUUUCCAGUGAUCGAAGUAUGAGAACAUGACUCGAUGUGAAAAAAACGUUCUGAAAUGAUUGCCAUGUAUCCAGCCAGUCGGCCGUAGACAAAAUACUAGCUCCAAGACAUGGUGAAAGAUUACACUUUCUUUCCUCUC